rnacentral:rRNA from 1 species
UACGAAGGGGGCUAGCGUUGCUCGGAUUGACUGGGCGUAAAGCGCGCGUAGGCGGCUUUGUAGGUUAGAGGUGAAAGCCCGGAGCUCAACUCCGGAACUGCCUUUAGGACUGCAUCGCUAGAACGUCGGAGAGGUAAGUGGAAUUCCGAGUGUAGAGGUGAAAUUCGUAGAUAUUCGGAAGAACACCAGUGGCGAAGGCGACUUACUGGACGACUGUUGACGCUGAGGUGCGAAAGCGUGGGGAGCAAACAGG